rnacentral:misc_RNA from 1 species
GUUUUACGUUUGCAAUAACAUAUGUAUCCAUUGUCCUUUUCUAGCAUCUAUAAGAAAUUAUGCUUUAACUAUUAUUACAUUUUCAAUUGUUAGCGGUCAAACAUUUUGAGAAGUAUAGGCAUGGACAAGGGCAAUAAGAGAACACAUUAGCCUUUUGUUUCCAGGGAAGAAUGUGCAAUAAAGUUUGCAUGCUUGUCCAUGUGUUGGAUGAUUUGCCAUUUAAUCUGAUAAUUUUCUAGAUGAAUCAAACAGUUUUAACUACUGCAAUGUUGAAGUUUACACCCUAGAGGGCCGAGUGAUUCGUUAUGUUCAAAAAAUGUGUUGAUGCGUAGAUUUUCCACUGGAGACUACAAGCUGACUGUUUAAUUAUGUUCACCUGAAUUAUCUUUCAUGUGAUGCAAGAAAGUUGGCUAUAAAGAUGACUGUGUAGAGUUGGAAGUGAUUUUAAAUUGCUACUAGAUACUUCAUCAUAGUUUUAUGCUGUGAAAACCAUAUUAUAUUUGAUUGGUGGCUACAUAUAGAUGCAUUAACAUAUCAAUUUUAAUCUUGGAUAGGUUGCAG